GUUAGACAAUGAAUUAUUAUCAAUUAUUCUUUCCUAAUUUUCAACCUUUGGUUUGGAGUGUGGCAGUGGCACUCUCAAAUUGAUAUUUCACGGGUGUAAAUGUAGAUUCAUUUAAAUAUAUACCAUGCCCCACUGCAGUUGCGUAAAUAUAUCCCACUUCAAUUGCAUGCGUGACAUAUAUCACGGGGGUUAAUUAUUUUGGAGUAGUGUAUAUAGUGUCCCGCGAGUUUAAUUUGAUCGGUAGGAACAUCUGUAUUUU
rnacentral:lncRNA from 1 species